GACGAACGCUGGCGGCGUGCCUAAUACAUGCAAGUCGAACGCACUCUCGUUUAGAUUGAAGGAGCUUGCUCCUGAUUGAUAAACAUUUGAGUGAGUGGCGGACGGGUGAGUAACACGUGGGUAACCUGCCCUAAAGUGGGGGAUAACAUUUGGAAACAGAUGCUAAUACCGCAUAAAACCUAACACCGCAUGGUGUAGGGUUGAAAGAUGGUUUCGGCUAUCACUUUAGGAUGGACCCGCGGUGCAUUAGUUAGUUGGUGAGGUAAAGGCUCACCAAGACCGUGAUGCAUAGCCGACCUGAGAGGGUAAUCGGCCACACUGGGACUGAGACACGGCCCAGACUCCUACGGGAGGCAGCAGUAGGGAAUCUUCCACAAUGGACGAAAGUCUGAUGGAGCAACGCCGCGUGAGUGAAGAAGGUUUUCGGAUCGUAAAACUCUGUUGUUGGAGAAGAAUGUAUCUGAUAGUAACUGAUCAGGUAGUGACGGUAUCCAACCAGAAAGCCACGGCUAACUAUGUGCCAGCAGCCGCGGUAAUACGUAGGUGGCAAGCGUUGUCCGGAUUUAUUGGGCGUAAAGCGAGCGCAGGCGGUUUCUUAAGUCUGAUGUGAAAGCCUUCGGCUCAACCGAAGAAGUGCAUCGGAAACUGGGAAACUUGAGUGCAGAAGAGGACAGUGGAACUCCAUGUGUAGCGGUGAAAUGCGUAGAUAUAUGGAAGAACACCAGUGGCGAAGGCGGCUGUCUGGUCUGUAACUGACGCUGAGGCUCGAAAGCAUGGGUAGCAAACAGGAUUAGAUACCCUGGUAGUCCAUGCCGUAAACGAUGAGUGCUAGGUGUUGGAGGGUUUCCGCCCUUCA
rnacentral:rRNA from 1 species